GCUUAAGAUAACUCUGUAUUUGCUACCUGAAGGUUGGGAAUAGUAUUUAUUGUAGAUGCCUUUGAUUAUACGAUGAUGUAUAUCUGUACAAAUACCGGUUGUUACUUAGCAGUCAAUAAUGCAGACCAGGUUCCGCUCAAAAGGGGUUUUUGAUGAGAGCUUGGCAGAACUUUUAUAAGGUGUUUUGUUCCAGGCAAAUGGAGUUGCAGAGCCUUAGAAAUUUGCAUUAGGCUUUUUAGAGUCGAGAAUUUACUCUAAAAUCCUUAGAGCACCAACCAAACCCCUAAGACAGUACCUUGAAAAUGUUUUCAAUUUUCAUGUUUUUAUCUUUGCUUUGAACCUAUGACAUCAUGUUAUUCUUUUCCCUCAUUCAUCAUGGUGAUUUUAUGCAAGCCAAGAAGUGCUUAGAUAAACUGAAUAAUCUGGGGUCACCAUACUGGAAAAAAAAGAAGUAAAUAUUGCAAAAAGAAAACCAAACCUUUGCAGAUCAACUGAUGAAGCUAGAAAGUAAAACAGAAAUGUUUUCAAGUAAGUUUUUUUCUUUUUUUCCCCCUGUUCACAAAUGGCUUGUUCUUGAAGAUUAUUUAUUCUCACGUAAGUGAUACUUUCCUGUUGCAUGCAGCAUGUGCUUGGUGCUGUACCUAUGGAUAACAUGGAGCUAUUUAUCCAAUGCCUGCUUCAUUCACGUUUUAAGAAAAUAGUACAAGAUACUGAUUUUUAAUAACUAGAUAUAUGGUUGGUUUUAAAUGCAAUACUAUAAGGUACUAGCCCUUAAUAUCGCUGUUAUCAGUAAGAUACUAACUUAUGAGUUUUCAGACAUUUAUCUUUCAAAUACAGGUGAUAGUUCAUACAAAGGUGGGCCUUGUUCCUCCAGCAGGAGGAAAUCUUAAUGCCUUCAGUUCACCAGUUCUAAAUGUCAGGAUUUAAUUUCAGUACUCAGUAUAUUUGAAGUAAAUUCUUGACAUGUACCUCAACGACCUUUGUGUGCCAAUAACUGAGACAUUAAAAAGUGGUGAUUGCCACUACAUCUGAAAAACUUGUUUUUUUCAACAUCUGACUGACUGUUCAUGGUAUAACAUACAUCUAAGAAUCCUGCAGUUUUGGAUAAAGAAAAUGGAUGAGAGAAGUAGGAGGAGGAAAAGGAGGUCCUGGAAGUUGGCACUAUAAAAAUAUGCCUCAGAACAUUGAAGAAUAUACAUAUUCCUCUCUCUGUGAAUCUUCCUUUGACAAAAUAGGCUGAAUACUGGAUGAGGCUACUUCAGAUGAAUAUCAUUUAUGGAAAGAGCUAUAAACAAAAGGCAAAUGUCUUGAAUGCUUUUCAGCGCUGAGGAGAAGUGUUAUUACGAAAGACUGACACUGCCCACCCUGGCAAGGCCAGCCCAGCUCAGGUUAUCAUUAUAUUUCAGACCAGAAUAUUAGAAAAUAACUACAAGAUUGUCAUCUUUAUACAAAUCUGUUGUGCAUCCAAAAAAUCAAUACUGAAAAAAAGUCAAAAUCUCUG
rnacentral:lncRNA from 1 species